UACGAAGGGGGCUAGCGUUGUUCGGAAUUACUGGGCGUAAAGGGCGCGUAGGCGGUGUGUCAAGUCAGGCGUGAAAGCCCCGGGCUCAACCUGGGAACCGCGCUUGAGACUGGCACGCUCGAGUUCGGGAGAGGAUGGUGGAAUUCCCAGUGUAGAGGUGCAAUUCGUAGAUAUUAGGAAGAACACCAGUGGCGAAGGCGGCUCACUGGCCCGGUACUGACGCUGAGGCGCGAAAGCGUGGGGAGCAAACAGG
rnacentral:rRNA from 1 species